rnacentral:lncRNA from 1 species
GAGCAGUCUCCGGAAGCUGCCUCUGGCUGCUCUGUUAACGUGUCCCGCGAGCGAGGCGCGUCGCAAAAGGUCGCGGCGGAACUUCCCUGCGCUUUUCAGACCAUACUCUUUACGGUACUAGGCACUGCUGAGCUGGGAGAUGUCGGCGGCGUGUUGGGAGGAACCGUGGGGUCUUCCCGGCGGCUUUGCGAAGCGGGUCCUGGUGACCGGCGGUGCUGGUUUCAUUGCAUCACAUAUGAUUGUCUCUUUAGUGGAAGAUUAUCCAAACUAUAUGAUCAUAAAUCUAGACAAGCUGGAUUACUGUGCAAGCUUGAAGAAUCUUGAAACCAUUUCUAACAAACAGAACUACAAAUUUAUACAGGGUGACAUAUGUGAUUCUCACUUUGUGAAACUGCUUUUUGAAACAGAGAAAAUAGAUAUAGUACUACAUUUUGCCGCACAAACACAUAUCUUUCAUUCGUACGUGCCUUUGAGUUUACCUAUGUUAAUGUUUAUGGCACUCACGUUUUGGUAAGUGCUGCUCAUGAAGCCAGAGUGGAGAAGUUUAUUUAUGUCAGCACAGAUGAAGUAUAUGGUGGCAGUCUUGAUAAGGAAUUUGAUGAAUCUUCACCCAAACAACCUACAAAUCCUUAUGCAUCAUCUAAAGCAGCUGCUGAAUGUUUUGUACAGUCUUACUGGGAACAAUAUAAGUUUCCAGUUGUCAUCACAAGAAGCAGUAAUGUUUAUGGACCACAUCAAUAUCCAGAAAAGGUUAUUCCAAAAUUUAUAUCUUUGCUACAGCACAACAGGAAAUGUUGCAUUCAUGGGUCAGGGCUUCAAACAAGAAACUUCCUUUAUGCUACUGAUGUUGUAGAAGCAUUUCUCACUGUCCUCAAAAAAGGGAAACCAGGUGAAAUUUAUAACAUCGGAACCAAUUUUGAAAUGUCAGUUGUCCAGCUUGCCAAAGAACUAAUACAACUGAUCAAAGAGACCAAUUCAGAGUCUGAAAUGGAAAAUUGGGUUGAUUAUGUUAAUGAUAGACCCACCAAUGACAUGAGAUACCCAAUGAAGUCAGAAAAAAUACAUGGCUUAGGAUGGAGACCUAAAGUGCCUUGGAAAGAAGGAAUAAAGAAAACAAUUGAAUGGUACAGAGAGAAUUUUCACAACUGGAAGAAUGUGGAAAAGGCAUUAGAACCCUUUCCGGUAUAAUCACCAUUUAUAUAGUCGAGACAGUUGUCAAAGAAGAAAGUUAUCCUACCUCGCCAAGUGGUAUGAAAUUAAGUGACCAAAUGAAGUGCACUCUUUUCUUUUGGAAUUAGAUUCAUGACUUUCUGUAUAAAAUUCAAAUGCAGAAUGCCUCAAUCUUUGGGAGAGUUUCAGUACUGGCAUAGAAUUUAAAUGUCAAAAUUCUUUCUGAAACCCUUUCUCCUAGAAACUAGGAAAUAAUAGGUGUAGAAGACUCUCCCUAAGGGUAGCCAGGAAGAAGUCUCCUGAUUCGGACAACCAUGAGGGGUAGUGGUGCUAGGGAGAAGGCAACCUUCACUGGUUUUGAACUCAGUGCCUAAGAAAGUCUCUGAAAUGUUCGUUUUUAGGCAAUAUAGGAUGUCUUAGGCCCUAAUUCACCAUUUCUUUUUUAAGAUCUGAUAUGCUAUCAUUGCCUUAAUAAUGGAACAAAAUAGAAGCAUAUCUAACACUUUUUAAAUUGAUAAUUUUGUAAAAUUGAUUACGUUGAAUGCUUUUUAAGAGAAGUGUGUAAAGUUUUUAUAUUUUCACAAUUAACGUAUGUAAAACCUUGUAUCAGAAAUUUAUCAUGUUUACUGUUUAAAAUGAUUGUAUUUAUAAAAUUGUCAAUAUCUUAAUGUAUUUAAUGUAGAAUAUUGCUUUUUAAAAUAAUGUUUUUAUUUUGCUGUAGAAAAAUAAAAAAAAAUUUGAUUAUA